rnacentral:rRNA from 1 species
UACGUAGGGUCCGAGCGUUGUCCGGAUUCAUUGGGCGUAAAGGGUGCGUAGGCGGUCGGGUAAGUCGGAUGUGAAAUCUCAGGGCUCAACCCUGAAACUGCAUUCGAUACUGCCUGGCUAGGGUACUGGAGAGGAGACUGGAAUUUACGGUGUAGCAGUGAAAUGCGUAGAUAUCGUAAGGAAGACCAGUGGCGAAGGCGAGUCUCUGGACAGUUACCGACGCUGAGGCACGAAGGCCAGGGGAGCAAACGGG